CAGCAGCCGCGGGAAUACGGAGGAUCCAAGCGUUAUACGGAAUCAUUGGGUUUAAAGGGUCCGUAGGCGGUCUUGUAAGUCAGUGGUGAAAGCCCAUCGCUCAACGGUGGAACGGCCAUUGAUACUGCAGGACUUGAAUUAUUGGGAAGUAACUAGAAUAUGUAGUGUAGCGGUGAAAUGCUUAGAGAUUACAUGGAAUACCAAUUGCGAAGGCAGGUUACUACCAAUUGAUUGACGCUGAUGGACGAAAGCGUGGGUAGCGAACAGGAUUAGAGACCCCUGUAGUCCCUGUCUCUUAUAU
rnacentral:rRNA from 1 species